rnacentral:misc_RNA from 1 species
GGAACACCUUCAGCUAUAAUAGCCGCAACUUUGAUGGUUGGCUGUUUAAGAGCCGACAUGGAGGAAGCAGCGGCACUUCUGAAAGACGCAAAGUUAAUGAAUACAUCAGCUGUGGGAUGUGCAGCACAAGCGGCUUCGAUGGUUGAGUGUACUGGGAUUGCAAUUUCCUCCUGACCAAAGAAAAGUUUCUGGAAUCCCUCAGAACCAGGAUUAAUAAUUCCAGCAACAGAUGGUGUUUCCCUCCCACAAAGGAAAUCGAAAUCAAGCAUGCGCUGAAUAGGAAGCUGCUUGUAGUUAUAGAACAAAGCUUGUGUAGUCUUGGAGAAAAGUUGUCCAGUAGCCAUUUUCCCAAAUCAAUUAAGAUCUCUGUAGAUGAAGAAAGUCCCCUAACUAGUUGGAGAAUGUUGUUGGCCAG